rnacentral:lncRNA from 1 species
UUACAUGAUAAUUCUGUUCUCGAGGAACUGUUUACACCGAACAAUGUGGUAUGUCGUUGUCUUCAUAGCAUUACAAAGUCAAGUUGUCAAUACAUUCGAAGGAUUUGUGGAUAAUGCUUCGUUGUAUAGCUCAAGAAAGGAAACGUUAUCAGCCAUGGCGUUUCAUGGGGUCAGUGAGAAGUGCAAUAGGUCGCUUGGAAGUCUAGACUCUGAUGCAAGAUGGCAAU